UACGUAGGGUGCGAGCGUUAAUCGGAAUUACUGGGCGUAAAGGGUGCGCAGGCGGUUGAGUAAGACAGAUGUGAAAUCCCCGAGCUUAACUCGGGAAUGGCAUAUGUGACUGCUCGACUAGAGUGUGUCAGAGGGAGGUGGAAUUCCACGUGUAGCAGUGAAAUGCGUAGAUAUGUGGAAGAACACCGAUGGCGAAGGCAGCCUCCUGGGACAUAACUGACGCUCAGACACGAAAGCGUGGGGAGCAAACAGG
rnacentral:rRNA from 1 species